rnacentral:sRNA from 1 species
AAACAAAAAGAGAGGGACAGAACUACAAUUCCUAUCUUUGCCAAAUAACCCCCACCCCCAGGCAAUGUUAUGAGGACAUUUUUAAUAACAGAGAAAGGCAAGUCAUAGGUGGACACAACCACCUUUGUGUUUUGCAAAACAACUCAACUUGGCAUUUAAUGGAGGCCGACUUAAUGGUAAGAGAAUGGGGGUUGCCUUCUAUACUGAAACUCUUCCAUAGAACCUUGCCUAAAAUUAUGUCUUGAGUUUGCAAAACAUGUGUUACAUUUAAACAGCACACAGAAACCAGUCUGGGCAGCGAGCAGGGUUAAGGUCACAGUUUCUUUUCGUCCCCUAAGCCCAGGGUCCUGCACAUUCUACUACCAAAAUCUGAGGUGUUUGGUGGUCCGCACCCUGGUGUUAAACUUGGAAGUAUAGAAAAUAAUAUGGCAGCAUGCCAGGUGUAGGCCCUCUCUUAAGCCGUAAUGGCGGCUCCCAGAUUUGAGUAAGCUGUUGACCACCUGGAACUAAUGAGCUCUUUAUUACCAGGAAAUAUUGGUACAGUGAUUGUCAACACUGCAAAUUCUGCCAUGGAUGGAUGGGUGGGAGAAAAUGAAGGCAAACACCCAAUACCCGUCACAAUUUUAUAGAGGAAAAACCUUAUUUCUGACACCUUUUUCCCUCUUCGAGAAUGACUGAAAAAAACACAUUUCAGAAGACACAGCUGAAAAACCACUGUUCUCAUGCCCUAACCCCUGAUCUGACAGAUGGGGAUUCUGGAAGUCUCUAGCUCCCCUGAGUCUCCUUUCACCCUGAGCGUUUCUGCUGUUGCUCCAAUGUCAGAGCUGACUCUUCCUGUGGAGAUAUCUGCCUGGAGACUAGGCAGGUGAAUACCUGCAUCGUCUGACUUCCUCCACCAGCCUCAGAAACUCUGCUACUGGGCUCAAUGUUGGUUACCAAAGAGACGGUUGGUUACCGUCCUCAUUCACGGAAAAAAAAAAAAAGCUCAUCUUUGUUUUCCCCACUACGCAUUUGAAAACUGUUGGAAAGAACGAUUUUAAUCCCUCAAAAAUGUGUGGCAUGGAGUUGUCAUCCUUAAACUCAGGAGGAAUCCCUCGCCUUAACCCUUCUAGAUUUUUCUAUGUUCUUCCUGCAGUUCUCACAUUCAAAUCAAAGUACAGAGCCAUGCAGAACCAUGCAACUCCAAACUUGGAGGGCGGUGAUGGUUGAGAAUCGAAUACAAACUUUCCCUGAAAGAUUGUACACUUCCUAGUGGUAUGAGUUCAGGGUGGAAUUACAUCCUUCAUAUACACCAUGAGAUAUUUGAAGAAAUAUUUGUACACUUGUGUUCACUGCAGCAAGAUUGACAAUGGCCGAGAGGCUGAAGGCACCCAACUGGCCAUCAGCAGAUGAUGCAUAAGUAAUACAUGCCGUGUAGACAACGGUGUGUGUUUUGUCCUUAAAAACACCAAAGAACUGACAUAACAACACGGAAGAAAGUCAGCUACUUAUGAAGGACAGGUGCUGUGUGGUUCUGCUGUUCUAAGUCCCCUAGAGUUCACACAUAUAGAGUAAGAGAGGUUUCCUGUGUCUGGGAGGAAGGGGCAUAGGGGGUGAUCAAUGGAUUAGAAGGAUGGAGUUCCAGUGUUUCAAGAAAAAAAGAGUCCUGGGAUGUGAAGAGGGGGCAGUAACCACAGCAGGGCAGAUGUACUUACUAUCUUUCUCAGAGAGUUGAGAUUAAAUUUUGUAUGUAUUUCAUCGUAAUUUUAAAAAUUAAAGCUCACUGUUUAUAUAUCCCUUAAGAAGGGGUAAUGAAAAGUAGAGCAGUCCCAUAUGCAGGCCCAUGUAAAGCCAAUGCACCAAGCCCCUGUUCUCACAUCUGGACCAGCUUAAUGAAACCAUUGCUUUGGGGUUGG